rnacentral:lncRNA from 1 species
CUAUUUUCAUUUUUUUCCCCUAAAAAUGUUGUCUGCAGUGGUAUAAAGAUUCUGCUGUGCCCAGAGCAUUUACUCUAUAGAACCGUAUCAGCACCGCUUUCCUGAUGGAUCUCCAAACGAAGCCAUUUUAAAGGAAAAAAUACACCAAGGACAAGCCUCGUUUCUGGGAUGUGCAAGGAACUGAGUGACUCAUUUGGAUCACCUGCUGCAUCAUCAGGAAACAGCGCCUGAGGGACAGAGGCUAGACUGGGAUUUAAGAUAGUGGAGUCUAAGCUCUGCUGGCUUACUGGCUGUCUCCAAGUGGGGCUACAUUUUGACCAUGGUUCAUAGAACACGAGAAACUUGGACAGGAAGACACAGAGAGGAGCUGUGAUGAAGGAGGCGGAGGGUAGUGAUGCAUCUCCAAGCGGAGGAACACCAAUGACACGGGAACACCAGACGCCAGGAGACAGGCAGCAGAUGGAAGACUCUCAGAAUGACGUGAGGUCACAGCCUGCCCCUAAAUUGUGGUCAAGCGGAAUUCAGGCAUUUCUUCCAGGCCCCGGGAACAGCCUUUUCUAAGGUGUAGCUCCAGAAAGUAAGGGAGAAGAGACCUGAGGCAAACUUGUGAUAGCAACGUGUCAGAGUUGUAGAGUAGAGACUUUGGAUGGAGCCGCUGGCCAUCACUCAGGCCUCCUCAUCCCUUCCAUCUCAGGUCCUCUCUUGCCUCCUCCACACAUCCUCCACCAGAUUCUACCCACAAGAGUUGAUAAUCCGGUUCUGCCAGAUGGAAACCAGCUUGCCCAGCCCCCCAGUACAUAGUUGUAUAUUCUUCGUUGUGGGUGCUUCUAGUUGUGGCAUGUGGGACGCUGCCUCAGCGUGGUUUGAUGAGCAGUGCCAUGUCCGCGCCCAGGAUUCGAACCAACGAAACACUGGGCCGCCUGCAGCGGAGCGCGCGAACUUAACCACUCGGCCACGGGGCCAGCCCCAUGAACAUAUCUUUUUGAAGGACACUGUUCAACUCACUACUGGGGUUGUAUAACUACAUAACCCACAUUCUUUCCCUGCCAUGCUGUCUCAUGGCAAUCACUUCGUGCCUUACAAUUUAGCAUCUGAUGACAUACUCUUUAGACUUGUAGCUCGAUGUUUCACGAGGCUUAGUUUUAUUUAAGCCGUUCAUACUUAAG